rnacentral:rRNA from 1 species
GAUGAACGCUGGCGGCGUGCCUAAUACAUGCAAGUCGAGCGAACGGACGAGAAGCUUGCUUCUCUGAUGUUAGCGGCGGACGGGUGAGUAACACGUGGAUAACCUACCUAUAAGACUGGGAUAACUUCGGGAAACCGGAGCUAAUACCGGAUAAUAUUUUGAACCGCAUGGUUCAAAAGUGAAAGACGGUCUUGCUGUCACUUAUAGAUGGAUCCGCGCUGCAUUAGCUAGUUGGUAAGGUAACGGCUUACCAAGGCAACGAUGCAUAGCCGACCUGAGAGGGUGAUCGGCCACACUGGAACUGAGACACGGUCCAGACUCCUACGGGAGGCAGCAGUAGGGAAUCUUCCGCAAUGGGCGAAAGCCUGACGGAGCAACGUCGCGUGAGUGAUGAAGGUCUUCGGAUCGUAAAACUCUGUUAUUAGGGAAGAACAUAUGUGUAAGUAACUGUGCACAUCUUGACGGUACCUAAUCAGAAAGCCACGGCUAACUACGUGCCAGCAGCCGCGGUAAUACGUAGGUGGCAAGCGUUAUCCGGAAUUAUUGGGCGUAAAGCGCGCGUAGGCGGUUUUUUAAGUCUGAUGUGAAAGCCCACGGCUCAACCGUGGAGGGUCAUUGGAAACUGGAAAACUUGAGUGCAGAAGAGGAAAGUGGAAUUCCAUGUGUAGCGGUGAAAUGCGCAGAGAUAUGGAGGAACACCAGUGGCGAAGGCGACUUUCUGGUCUGUAACUGACGCUGAUGUGCGAAAGCGUGGGGAUCAAACAGGAUUAGAUACCCUGGUAGUCCACGCCGUAAACGAUGAGUGCUAAGUGUUAGGGGGUUUCCGCCCCUUAGUGCUGCAGCUAACGCAUUAAGCACUCCGCCUGGGGAGUACGACCGCAAGGUUGAAACUCAAAGGAAUUGACGGGGACCCGCACAAGCGGUGGAGCAUGUGGUUUAAUUCGAAGCAACGCGAAGAACCUUACCAAAUCUUGACAUCCUUUGACAACUCUAGAGAUAGAGCCUUCCCCUUCGGGGGGGCAAAGUGACAGGUGGUGCAUGGUUGUCGUCAGCUCGUGUCGUGAGAUGUUGGGUUAAGUCCCGCAACGAGCGCAACCCUUAAGCUUAGUUGCCAUCAUUAAGUUGGGCACUCUAAGUUGACUGCCGGUGACAAACCGGAGGAAGGUGGGGAUGACGUCAAAUCAUCAUGCCCCUUAUGAUUUGGGCUACACACGUGCUACAAUGGACAAUACAAAGGGCAGCGAAACCGCGAGGUCAAGCAAAUCCCAUAAAGUUGUUCUCAGUUCGGAUUGUAGUCUGCAACUCGACUACAUGAAGCUGGAAUCGCUAGUAAUCGUAGAUCAGCAUGCUACGGUGAAUACGUUCCCGGGUCU